rnacentral:sRNA from 1 species
UGAUGAUACACCUCGGUUGCAGAGACCUGAACCUCGCGCCCUGUGUUCCCAAGAACCCGGGUUGAUGCGAUGGAUCGUGACUUCUGCCGUCCGGCAACCACAAUCCUUGUUAUUAUAGGGACGGUUGUAUUUACGGUCUGAACUUUAAUGCUGGAAGGUGGUUGUCUUUGGACUGAUCCUUAUAUACGCUCCGCUUCGACUAUCUGUGCUGCGUGAUGGAAAAGCAUGUUUUGCCCUCAUGCAAUGUUGGAAUGUACUGCAGCUUGCGUUUACCCAGUGGUAC